UACGAAGGGGGCUAGCGUUGCUCGGAAUGACUGGGCGUAAAGGGCGCGUAGGCGGCACACAUAGUCAGGCGUGAAAUUCCUGGGCUUAACCUGGGGGCUGCGUUUGAUACAUGUGGAGCUAGAGGAUGGAAGAGGCUCGGUGGAAUUCCCAGUGUAGGAGGUGAAAUUCGUAGAUAUUGGGAAGAACACCGGUGGCGAAGGCGGCCCACUGGGCCGGUACUGACG
rnacentral:rRNA from 1 species